UACGUAGGGGGCUAGCGUUGUCCGGAAUCAUUGGGCGUAAAGAGCGUGUAGGCGGCCCGGUAAGUCCGCUGUGAAAGUCGGGGGCUCAACCCUCGGAUGCCGGUGGAUACUGUCGGGCUCGAGUACGGAAGAGGCGAGUGGAAUUCCUGGUGUAGCGGUGAAAUGCGCAGAUAUCAGGAGGAACACCAAUUGCGAAGGCAGCUCGCUGGGACGUUACUGACGCUGAGACUGCGAAAGC
rnacentral:rRNA from 1 species